GAGAGUAUAGCUUAAUGGUAAAGUAUCAGACUUUUAAUCUGCAUGAUUUGGGUUCAAUUCCCAAUACUCUUA
rnacentral:tRNA from 1 species